CUUGCCCCAGUCAGGAGCUUGGUGUUCUCUGCUCCAAGAUUUAGAGAAGAACCAGGAGCAUGCUAGUUUUCAAAUCUGCCUCUGCUGCUACCAGGUUGAGUGACGACAGGCACAGAACACAUAAGCCGCAGGUUGGAGCACAGAGCAUUCAAAGAAGGAAUGGGAAUCUUUGCAAAGAUUGCUGAGAUCCAAGGAGGGAAGCUACGUGAAAGAACAUUGUAAGCAGAAAAAUGCAACACCUCUGCCAUCAGCCCUCAUCAGCCCCCAGGCUGCCGACAGCACCGAGAGGGAAUGAGUCAGUGUUCUUGAGGCCUCUGGGAUGUCUGGUUUCGGGUUUGAUCACAUAUACGUACACAUCGAAUCCCCCCUUCAUUUCUAUCUCUUCUUCUAAUAUUUUCUAUUUGCCUUCUAAUCAACUGAACCCUUUGAUCACUAUUUUGCCUUCUUGUCAAACAGAUCUCUGGUACUUAUUUAUUUGCAAACUGGUUUUACAACUUAAAUUGCUCCUGCAUAAAGUACAAGCAUGUCAACGGAAGCCAGGGGGAGGGGAUUCACCUGGGAAGUGUCGGCAGAUGCAAGACUGGUCUCUGAAAGCAGCAAGUUUUCCUGAAAUAAAUAUUCUUUUGGGACUUGAUUCUCUAUUUCGGGCAGGGCAAGGAGCAUCACGGUGUGAAAGGUAACGUCAUUAGCGAUACACUAAUAAGAAUUUCCUAGUUAAUCCAGAGGAUGACUAUUCCUAAAGUGGUGUGGUCCCCAUUUGUCUCAAGGUUAUGAGGCCACGGAGUUCAUCCUUCUCUCUUUACAUGACCUCAUACUGAAGUUUGAGGUGGCUAUUUGUGGACAAUAAAAAUACACGUUGCUUCCACCAUGAAACUGCUCCUGCCACAUGUAAACGAGGAGCUUUCCCUUCAAACUACACCUCCUCUGUUUCCCAAUCUGAGUAGAUGCCUUGCGGACCCACUUGCCACAGGUCCAAGCAGGUGGAUCGUCUGAGAGGGAAAGUGAGAAAGACAAAGCUUGGCACAGAUUCUUCCUUCUGGGCAGGACACACACUGGGAGAUCAACCUGUUACAGAGAUGAAUUCUAGAAGUGCACCCAGGCAGGGAAAUGGUGGUCUCCAAAGGAUGUAAACACGUGGGGAGUUUAACAACGUCACGGGCAUCUGUACCCAACAUGGGACUCCCUAGGAGUGGGGCGCUCAGUGCUGAGCAGCCAAAAAGAAGGGGUCUUUCCCAGCACGGCCAGCCACUUGUGGUAGCCAUCCUGUUUUCCUCCAUUCUCACCCACUAGGCACAUCCUCCUGGCCCCUUCAGGUAUAUACGGCCUUCCCCUCUCUACUCCCAGUUUCCCUGGGAAGAUGAUUGCAUCAGUUAUACCUCAAAUUUAAACAGCAUGUGAAAUCUCAGAAGAUCUUUAGUGAUCAUGAAGUUUCAUGUUCUCAUUUUAUGAGGCUCCAGCUGUGGAGGCGAGGACCCUGACAGGCAGAGCACAGCCCAGAGAGGCAGUCACCAAAUCAACUUCUUGUCAGGCUUGUUUCCUAUACUUCCUCUCUCCACUCAAAAUGUAAGCCUUUGUAUGCCAGAGAGGGAAAAUUGGGGGAAAGGAAGUACAAAGCCUUCCAAGGUCUCCCUAAAACAACCCUUGUCAUCACCAAAGGCCAAAGGCAAUGUCCAUGCAGUUAAGUCAAUGAUUCCAAAUGACAUUCACUAGGAGGGUUUUCAAAACUGCAUCAUAAAGCCAGGAAAUUGCCACUUCUCUACACUCAGGGUCACAGAGGAAAUCCUGAGAGGGCUCUGGCUAAAGUGGUAUGUGGUUUGCAUCUCAGGCCUUUCUUCCACCUGUCACUCACAACUCAGACAUGGUGGCAUGGGCCCCACUGGUGAGAACAAGUGUCUUGGAGCUCAGGAUCUAGGCUUGAUAAUGAGACACUCAGCUCCUUGAGGAAGGCACUUACUUCUGCCUUCCUUGUCCUUUCAUAAAAACCUGGCUAUCUUCAGUCUCCAGCUUCAGCCCUCAUCUGCCUCUGUCCCCAGGAAAGGCACAGAAUCUGCAUAGACACAGAUGAAAUAAACAAGACAUCACCCACCUUUAUCACCACAUCUCAGGCCCUUGCAUGUGCUGUUUCUCUACUAGGAAAUCCUUCCCAACACAUUCCUCAUCCCCUUCACCACUCUGCCUGGCCAAAUUCCCCCAUGUGUUGAAGGCUUUCCUGCCCUGAUUGCCAAGGAUGCCUUUGGAAGUCCCUCUUCCUACUUCUGCCACAGUAUGUGUGGGGUUGCCUCUCUGUACGAACACUGAUCUGUGAGUUCCUUUCACACAGGAAUGUGGUCUUACUCAUCAGAGUAAUGGGUGACUAUACUGAUAACCAUUAUUACUAUUAUGAAGAAGCAAAAAAAGGGAAAGGCGGGAAGAGAGGAAAUAAGUGAAAACAUCAAUGAGGAUGCCAUUGGUCCCUACAGAUGGCAGAGGCACCAGAGUUCACAGAGAAGAGGACAGAGAGGAGAGUCCGCAGACAGUGUCAGAGGUGUAGUAGCAAUGGCAUCCAGGCGAUGCCUUGCCAUCCUCAUAGUACAUGGUGACUCAUGGGACAGGAACGCCUUCCAUAGUCUAGUUUUGAAAUGUCUGCUCUCUGGAGAAGAAAAGACCUUUUGCCUUAGCCUCGGGAAGGAUAAGAAUGACUUGAAGCUACUGAUGCGGAUCCAGAGUUGAAGACAGAGCUUCGUUGUCCGGCCUGGAAUUGUAUCAUCAGCCCAUCUCCGAUCCUCUGUACAUCUGGGCUAUGUCCUCCCACAGAGGAGAUGGGAAAAAGAGGAAAAUGCAAGGAAAGCUUCUAAAGCAUCUUGGUGUAAAGACUUUACCUAGAGUCACAGCAGAGGAGAGACUCUAGGCCUCUCUGCUCCUAAACAAUGUUGGAAAAAAAGGCUUCAUUUCCCCUAAGUCUCCCCAGGAGUCAGCGUGAGUCAUUUCUUUUUGGAAACCUCCUCUACCAUUUAAACACACAAACCCUAACCCCGCCCUGUGCACUUUACAGCUACUGUAGGAUUACCUCUAAGCCAGUUCUCUCUUGGGGUGGUGUGGAAAUUGUCUUUUCUUAAACAUCCUCGGGGGGAUAAUGGGAGAUGGCUUUGCAUGAUCAGUACAGUCAGCAGUGAAUAAUUGCACAUGUGUUUGUGGUUUCCAAGCACUUUCGUAUCUUUUAUCUCAUUUAAGUUUCACAACAACAUAGUGAGAACUCUCAACCAGGGAUCUUGUCCAAGAUCAAAGAGCUAAUAAGACAAGGAAGCCUGACUCCGAAUCCCCAGGUGUCCACUCAAAUGCCCUGACAUGUUUUAACUCCUUAGGAAAUGCCUAAGUUGUCUGAGUAACCUGCUCUAAAAGAUACAUUCUGUCCUAAAGUUCAAAUGAUGGGGCCCUCGCAGACAUUGAGAGCUCUGCUCUAAAGCUCUCUUAUAGUAUAUUCUUUUUCAGCCAGAAAAACCACUUAAAAUAAAAUAGCCUUUUUCUUUGAAAGCUAAUAAUCACUAGCUAGUUAAUGUAAUUAACUCCUCAUUAAUGUACAAUUAAGAUGCCUGCCACUCCAUAACUAGCUAACAAUCAGGAGUAAAUGAGAAUAUACCUGAUGAGCCUUUCCAAACCUCCAGGGUCAGAAUUAGACUACUUCUACCUCUAGACUUGUCAAAAUUCUUUAAGAACCCUAUUCAAAGACUUUUCCAAAAACAUAAGGGAGAAUAUCUUAUUUGUACAUAUGCGUAUAAAUCCUGUUUCCCAUAGAUAUGGAAGCAAUGGACACCGGUCAAGAAUUUCCAGUCAAGCAUUUCUGCUCCCAAAGACUUGAGGACAAUGUAGAGCCCUAGAUGGAUGCAGCCUGGGCUGAUCCUUAACCCAUCUAAUCCACCAGGCACACAGAGAAUUGGCUUGCCUGUGGUUCUAAAGCAACCAAAUGGUAAAACUGGGAUGGGAACUCUGAGUUCCACAUUCCAAGUCUCAUUCUCUUCCUGCGCUACUCUACCAACAUUCGGAGGACUCUCUGAAAUCAAAGGAUGCUUAACUGAAUAUAUGUUAAAUCAAGAGUCUGUAGUGGAACUCUGUCUUUCUCAACAUCCUCACUCAUGUCAUGAUUUGCUCUUGGAGCCAGGAUAAUCCUAAGGCAGAACAAGAAGGCAGAAAUCUUAAGAGUUUGGUGUGUGGGGGGGAUGCUGAACUAUAUUUGCAUUUGUUUUAAAACAUGAAUGAAAUGCAAAUACAAGUCAACUUCUAAGGUGACAACAACAUUAAGCAAAAAUCAAUCACAAGACUAAAAGAGAUCUCCCCAGAAGUUUACAGACAUCAAAAUUAACAGGGAACUGGAGUUCCUA